ensembl:lncRNA
CGGCGCUCAGUCAUUCCCUCAGAUGAGGACUUCCGCUAAUGUAAACGCAGAAGAGAUUGGAGCGGGCGAGGUGGUGGAUGAGAUGAGCAGGAGGCAGGAAGAAAGCGGAAAGUGUGCUUAAAAAGCCGGCGCGGUCCGUCCCGCGGGAGCGCGUCGUAAUGAGAUUCAGCAGUAAUGAGGGACAGAACACGCUGCCAGAUGUGAUUCUAAUUCCAAUCAAGGAGGGGUUGGGGAGGAGGGAACUGGAGAGCAUAUUGUUAAAUACAAUUAACCCUUUUUUCCCUAUUUGGAGGAGAACAUGGUCUGAAAGGAGGGGUUACAAGCACCUUGUUCUGGAGGCUUUGGGAGAUCCGUGGCAGGUUAUCAAGGAGAAAGGCGGACCAGAGCGGAGCCUUCUUCUCAUCCCACCUUUAACGUCAGCGGGGGCAGUAGAGGUGGGCCGAGGGUCUGUCCUCCCUCUGGUGACACUGGAGAUGAUAGCCUGCCCCGAGGGGAGAGCAGGCAGCUCGGCACAGGACUUCGCGACGGGGAAGAGAACAAGAGGCCCCGGUGGCUGUGCCUCGGCGUGCCGUUCGGUGGAUCUUUAGUGAAACACAGAUGUUCAGCGGCGCCUGCAAGACGUCGGGUGGCAUGAUGGAUGUCUGUCUCCAUCAGCGCUGGCAGCGCGACGUGGCAGCGCGGCGUGACAGCGCGACGUGACAGCUCUCUGUAUUGGUGACAGGCUGAGGUUCCAGCCCAGACAGAUUGCCUUCAGGUGGCUCCAUUUUCUAAAUCUCGCCGAGAAUGUGCAGCGCUUAACUUUUCUUUUGAAGGCUGAUGGGCUCUCUGUGCCUUUUAUAUUUGGGAGAAAGUAGGAGGGGGGGGGAAGCGGCUCAUUUGAGAGUUUGCUUUAAUAUCUGUCUUUCAGAGAUCAAAGGAUGUCAUGUGCUCACACCUCAUAUUUCAUAGGAUCAAUCACAAGCCAUGUAAAAUUCUCUUAAAAGUGCCUUAUGCAAUAUAAUAGCAGGUUUGGGUGACAUUUAUCUGCCGAGGGGAGGAAGGCUGAUCACAGACCUAUUGCCUUUUACAAAAAGGAUUUCAUCACACGGGCCGUCUUUAACGGAUUUCUCACAAUUGUCUUUGCGAUUGUAGCCGAUGACGGAAGACGUAGAUGAACAUCGGGCCUCUCCCAUGGAUACGUGUGUCGUACACACACAAAUGAUUACACUUAAAGCAAAAAGCAGAUGUUUUUUUAGAGGAUUUUCACAAUAGUUCCUGUGACUUCUGGCUGAAACACUGAGCAGUUGAUCUAGAUAAUCUCUGUGCAAGACCGAGAAUGAGAGAAUUUAUUUCAGGGCCUGGUUAUGUGUUUAUAAUGAGUAUUUUAGAGGGAGAUACCGGUAAUAACUAUGUGCAAAACCAUUAAAAUGAAUAUUUAUAUUGCUCGUUAUGAAAUGUGCAUUAAGUCUGCAUUAAAAACAAGAACAAAGAAUGUGAUUCAUGAGAGAGAUGUGCGAUUUGCUAGUGUGUAUUUGUGUGUUGACUAGGGACGGCGGGGUCCUCGCACACCUAAUGCUCGGAAGUACUGACAAAACCCCUGGAUCGAAUAUCUGACACCUCUUAACAAAAGCAGCAGCAGAAGCAUCUUCCUCCCCUUGUUUGUUUUGUAAUUUUCUCCAUCUUCUUUCUGCCUCCGCCUGAGGUGAUACGAGUCGCUCCGUUCAUCCGCUCGCUCUCUCGCUCUCUCUCCACCUUUUAUUCCCUCCCUUCCUCUCCGUUCCAUCUACCCAAAUUAAGAAAUUAAUGAGGGAUAGGUUUUUCACCAACUGCCCCCGCAAUGUUUACCACUGAUGAAAUUAUAAUGCAGGCCCUGCUGUAUUAUUUAUAAGCCAAUUAGGGGAAGUGUUACUUGAUUUGAUGGGGAGCCGACACACAGAGUACAUUUAACUAAUGGAGACCAAGAGAGUAAAGGGAAGGAGGGUAGAGAGGGAGGAAGUGGGGGGGGGACAGCUGAGGCGGACUAUUCCGUACGAUGCUCUAGGAUUACGUGGCUAAUUGCCCUGCUUUAUCUGUCUGUCACGGAUAGCCAUGCAUAUUUUAGCGUUCCCAAAGACUUUGAUUGUUUGCACUCGUGUUGGGGCUGUAACAAGUAGAGCAGAGGCCAGAGUGGAGUGUAGUUAAAAACUGGC